rnacentral:rRNA from 1 species
AGUGGCGGACGGGUGAGUAACGCGUAAGAAUCUAACUUCAGGACGGGGACAACAGUGGGAAACGACUGCUAAUACCCGAUGUGCCGCGAGGUGAAACCUAAUUGGCCUGAAGAAGAGCUUGCGUCUGAUUAGCUAGUUGGUGGGGUAAGAGCCUACCAAGGCGACGAUCGGUAGCUGGUCUGAGAGGAUGAGCAGCCACACUGGGACUGAGACACGGCCCAGACUCCUACGGGAGGCAGCAGUGGGGAAUUUUCCGCAAUGGGCGAAAGCCUGACGGAGCAACGCCGCGUGAGGGAGGAAGGUCUUUGGAUUGUAAACCUCUUUUCUCAAGGAAGAAGUUCUGACGGUACUUGAGGAAUCAGCCUCGGCUAACUCCGUGCCAGCAGCCGCGGUAAUACGGGGGAGGCAAGCGUUAUCCGGAAUUAUUGGGCGUAAAGCGUCCGCAGGUGGUCAGCCAAGUCUGCCGUCAAAUCAGGUUGCUUAACGACCUAAAGGCGGUGGAAACUGGCAGACUAGAGAGCAGUAGGGGUAGCAGGAAUUCCCAGUGUAGCGGUGAAAUGCGUAGAGAUUGGGAAGAACAUCGGUGGCGAAAGCGUGCUACUGGGCUGUAUCUGACACUCAGGGACGAAAGCUAGGGGAGCGAAAGGGAUUAGAUACCCCUGUAGUCCUAGCCGUAAACGAUGGAUACUAGGCGUGGCUU